UACGUAGGGUGCAAGCGUUGUUCGGAAUUACUGGGCGUAAAGGGCGCGUAGGCGGGCCCGUAUGUCGAUUGUGAAAGCCCUGGGCUUAACCUGGGAAUUGCAGUCGAAACUGCGGGUCUUGAGUGCCUAAGAGGAUGGCGGAAUUCCCGGUGUAGAAGUGAAAUUCGUAGAUAUCGGGAAGAACACCUGAGGCGAAGGCGGCUGUCUGGUGGUGCACUGACGCUGAGGCGCGAAAGCGUGGGGAGCAAACAGG
rnacentral:rRNA from 1 species